UGUUGGUUUGCACACCAGGGCAAUGAUUAAUAGGGACAGUUGGGGGUGUUCAUAUUUCAGCGUCAGAGGUGAAAUUCUUGGAUCGCUGAAAGAUGAGCUUAGGCGA